AGUGAACGCUGGCGGUAGGCCUAACACAUGCAAGUCGAACGGCAGCACAGUAAGGGCUUGCUCUUACGGGUGGCGAGUGGCGGACGGGUGAGGAGUACAUCGGAAUCUACUUUUUCGUGGGGGAUAACGUAGGGAAACUUACGCUAAUACCGCAUACGACCUACGGGUGAAAGCAGGGGAUCUUCGGACCUUGCGCGAUUGAAUGAGCCGAUGUCGGAUUAGCUAGUUGGCGGGGUAAAGGCCCACCAAGGCGACGAUCCGUAGCUGGUCUGAGAGGAUGAUCAGCCACACUGGAACUGAGACACGGUCCAGACUCCUACGGGAGGCAGCAGUCGGGAAUAUUGGACAAUGGGCGCAAGCCUGAUCCAGCCAUACCGCGUGGGUGAAGAAGGCCUUCGGGUUGUAAAGCCCUUUUGUUGGGAAAGAAAAGCAGCAGGUUAAUACCCCGCUGUUCUGACGGUACCCAAAGAAUAAGCACCGGCUAACUUCGUG
rnacentral:rRNA from 1 species